rnacentral:snRNA from 1 species
GGGUGUGAGGCCAAUUUGGCUGUGAAAUCCAUGAACAAACACAUUGAUCACCAGGGUUGGUUGGGCUGAUGUGAUGAGGUAGGGAACAUGUUCCCUUCCUCCCUCACCCUCCACUUUCACCCCUUCCAAAACUGCAUUCUGCAUGGGAGAAGACAGCUUUCCCCAGUAGUAAAGGACCAUUCUUUCAUCAAGGUAUAAAACUAGCUCUACUCCCCUGGCAGAACCUCCAAAGAAGCUCUCACAACACAAUUUUAGUACAUCAGAGUUACAGGUCGGAAAUCAGAGCAAGGU